rnacentral:lncRNA from 12 species
GUGAGCACAAAAUAGUUGUGAACCUGCAUUCAGUUACAUUUGCAAAUGCAUUUUACUGGAUGAAGUAUAUCAAGAGUUUCUGGAGCAUGCAGUUGAACAGUGCUCUACUGUACCUCAGGCUACUAUUGAUAGGAAGAAUCUGGACCUAGA